rnacentral:misc_RNA from 1 species
GAUGAAGAACGUAGCGAAAUGCGAUAAGUAAUGCGAAUUGCAGAAUUUCCGUGAAUCAUCGAGUCUUUGAACGCACAUUGCGCCCCCUGGUAUUCCGGGGGGCAUGCCUGUCCGAGCGUCAUUGCUGCCCUCAAGCACGGCUUGUGUGUUGGGCCCCGUCCUCCGAUCCCGGGGGACGGGCCCGAAAGGCAGCGGCGGCACCGCGUCCGGUCCUCGAGCGUAUGGGGCUUUGUCACCCGCUCUGUAGGCCCGGCCGGCGCUUGCCGAUCAACCCAAAUUUUUAUCCAGGUUGACCUCGGAUCAGGUAGGGAUACCCGCUGAACUUAAGCAUAUCAAUAAGCGGAGGA